GGCGCGACGUUCAUUUGUAUGGUCAGACAGCGAAGUGGAGCUGCUGCUUCGAGUCGCCUUAGAUUAUAAGGCAAAUAAAGCACUCGAUAAUGUGGAUUGGGAAUCAUGCCAAACUAAAUAUAGGGAUAUGUUGGCAUUGUUCUUAGAACAGUACCCGUCCGAGACCUCCGAGGAGUAUCCUCAUGUCAAGGAGGAAAUAACUCGGGCGCACCUGACAACGAAAAUGAAGGCAGUCGACACUGGACGCAGGAGCGGCCAUGGUAGAGUGGUACUUCUCUACUACGAACUAUGUGAGCAAGUUUGGGGUGGCUCCCCUGCCACUACAACCAUCCAGUCUGGCAUCGAAACUAACGAACUGGACUCUUCCGUCGCACCUUCCCCCACCCCAUCUACCACGUCCUCGUCUGAAGUCGCGGAGCUAGAGUCUGAAGCAGAGGUAGAUGUUGAUGGCAGUGUGGCCCCCACCCCCACAGUGAAGGAGAGGAGAGCCCUGCUUCAGGCUAAACUGGAUGGACACCGGCAUGAACGGCUGAAGAGAAAGCUGCCAGCUGAGACCCAGUGGCUGAAUGCCAUUGAAGAGGACAAAGGUGUCAAGAAGAAACUGAUUGAAAUGAUCGAGACCUCAGAAAAGCAAGCAUCUGAUAAUUUCAGCAAAAUAACAGAUACACUUGAUAGGCUUACAACAUCAAUUGCUGAUGGGUUUAAUCUCCUGCGACAAGUCGUGCACACACCGCCACCACCGCCACAUUACAACAUGCCAUUUGACGGAAGAAGUCUUUAUGGACAGAUAUAUGCACACACGCCACCACCAGUCAUAUUUCCCAAAUUCAGCACCAGUUCAGCACUCAGUCCCACCCAACUCAUCAGCUGACAAUAGAACACAGAAUGCAGGGCCACUCAGCACCAUCAACACAUCAGAUUUGACACACACACCUGUCGAGGGCAUGGGGCAGUUUUCAUUUACUCAAGCCCUUUUCAAGGAAGCUUAGUGAAUUUACCUCUGAUGGUUGAUGUCUUAAAAUACAUUUAGUGUGUUCUAUACCAUACUGGCAAGUAUCAAUUACUUGUAUUGUUUUUUUUUUGGGGGGGGGGGGGGGGUAUUAGUUUUUGGGGGUGUUUAGUGUGAAAUGUUACCCCUAGCAGUUCCAAUAUUUUUGUUAACAAAGUUUACAGAUGGAUACUAUGUACAAACUAUGUGCACCACUUGUGUCAAUUUAGUUAUUCCUCUUGAAGUCUUAAGUUUACUUGAAGUAGCUUUUAUUUAUUAUUUGAAAAUUUGCACUACAGAGGCAGCUUAUUUGCACUACUACCUCUGAUUUUCUGGCUAAAUGACA
ensembl:lncRNA